GAACUGAACUCAGAGCCUUAUGCACUCUACCACUGAACCCUAUUGUUGGCCUUCAGGCUGCGGCAAUAUUCAAUGUCUGGAGACUGUAAGAAGGCACUGCAGUAUUUGCUAACCAUUGUACAUACUGGGUUUAGGACUCUAAACCCUUUGCACAUUGUCUCACCCUGGAAUCCCCCAACAGCUCCAACUCUUACAAAUGCCAGAGGCUCAGAUGUGAAGAAGCUUCAGAGGUGGCAUGUCCACAGUCUUGUUUGAAAUCCAGCCCUCAGUAGCCACUUUGGGACACGGCCCUGGGAUUUGUGUAUUCCUAGUCAGGUGUGCCCAGAGCGGAACCAAGCAGUAGGUGCAAAAGGAAAAUUGCUUUCUGAUUUGUUUACCUGCAAUCACCUGGAGAUGUCCCAGCCUAUCCAACAUCUGUCACACCUGGAGAAAUGACUUCUCUGUCCAGCGAGACCGUCUCCCAGCUGAAUACGAAGAUUUUCCCUCAGAAAGGUUGGACCCUGUGUGGAGAAAGUGAGAGGCGCGUCUUUCUCACCCCCAGCAGCCAGUGCUCCAUAUGGUCUCCUCUUGUCCCCUUUCUCUCCAGAGUCCUCACGGUCCAUUGCUUGUCUAGCAUGUCUGCAGCGUGACUCUUGUUUCAUGGGGCUCAGUUUCCUAGAAGUGGAAGGAACAGUCAUCCAUGUGGUUCAUCUGGAGCAUUGGGUAUCGGCCAACAAGUCAGCCUCUGUGGUCAGCCUCCUCUCCUGGGAAGCAGAGGAAAGAAAGAGCAAGUUCCUCGUCUCCUGAGUCAUCUCCUCAGCCCCACAGUGAAUAUUUCUACACACCCUGUGCCCAUAGGGGAUUAAAGAUGGAUCAUGCCACGCAGAAGCCCACAGUGGGGACGGCUGCACUCUUUCUCCCCAGAGACGAGGACGUUUAAGGAUCAUUACCAAGGUAUCUUCAAAUCACAGACCCAUGUGAAGAGCUCACUUGCCUCUCAUUAGACCCCUGUUGUGGUUUGAAGAAGUAGACAAGCUUGGUCCCAAAGCCCCUGAAUGUUCUACAGAAGAUCAGAAUGUAGCUCUCAGCUACUCUUCUAGUACCACACCUGCCAUGCAUGCUGCCAUGCUCCCCGCUAUGAUGAUAAUGGAAGAAACCUCUGAAACU